rnacentral:rRNA from 1 species
UACGUAGGGUGCAAGCGUUAAUCGGAAUUACUGGGCGUAAAGCGUGCGCAGGCGGCUUUGCAAGACAGAUGUGAAAUCCCCGGGCUCAACCCUGGGAACUGCAUUUGUGACUGCAAGGCUAGAGUACGGUAGAGGGGGAUGGAAUUCCGCGUGUAGCAGUGAAAUGCGUAGAUAUGCGGAGGAACACCGAUGGCGAAGGCAAUCCCCUGGACCUGUACUGACGCUCAUGCACGAAAGCGUGGGGAGCAAACGAGG